UUUCCUGGUGGUCACUUUGUCCUUCGGAGCUUUGUGGGGUGGAUGUGUUGGUUUAGCCUCAUUGUUGAUGUUUGAAGGUGGGUUUUCACUCAGAGGCUCAGACCGGAGUGCAGAAAAUCUGUUUUUCAGUGGAAUUCCCACAGAGUCGGAAUGUUUUGAGGCUUGGGCUGGUCGCUUUGUCCUUGGGAGCGGGGUCGGUGUUGACGUUGAAGGUGGGUUUUGGCUCAGAGUCGGCCACGCUGAUUCAUCCAGGUGAGGAGUUCUCCCUGUUUGUCGUCUCAUGGGAUCUGCAGUGUGAGCCUUUUGUUUCGGCUUGGCGCCCUGAGCGAUCCAGGGUGAGCUGCUUGGUGCGGGGCGCACGACCUCUCCACUGAUUUGAGGAAGAGUUGUUUCAUAUCCACAGGUAGCAUUGAUCUCAAAGUUCACCUCCAACCGUUGAAUCUUAGUUUCUAAAAA